UGGUCAUGUGAAAGGAAUUUUGUACGUGAUUUGGAAAUGCUUUAUAUACGCUUAGGUAGAUAAUAAAUUGGACGGCUAUCUCUAUGCGAACAAAAGAAUUUAUUUGAAUCAGACAAGUGUUCUGUUAAAUCGCAAAAUUGCUCGAGAAGAGAAGUUCCUUUCUAGAUUGAAUCAUGAAAAUAUUGUAAGAGUUGGUUUAAAUUCUAAGUCAAAGAGGCGGAAGUAUUUUGAACCUUUGCACGUAAGGCACU